rnacentral:lncRNA from 1 species
GGGAAAGAAACCUGGAAAGGUAGGGAGUACCCUUGGCUGUGUACAUUUGAGUAAAGAGAGCACUAUAAAAUCAAAAACCAAUGAAAUGGUUUCCAGAACACAGAACUAUUAAGCUUAAGAAAAGGACAGAAGGAACUGAAGAGAGAGGAACUGUUUUGGAGCAUCACACUUCCACCUCAGAAGAAAUAAGGAAGGAAGGAGGAGGGUGUUCCCACGGCUCUUCAACCAGGCCGGCUCUUCAGCCUACAUCCCCAUCUCAUCAAGUAAAAGGGAUUUUUCAACUGGACCAACCAGAUGGUUUAACAGUGCACUCCCACACCAUUCAACUACGCAAGGGAGAUACACUUAACAUAUGCAGUCGUAUAACACCUACUAACAUUUUCAAACAUUAAACCUUUAAAAAAGAGUUCUAAAGAAAUAGAAGCUUGAAGUAUCAUCUCUCAAGUAUAUAGACACUACUUCAUGGUGUGGUAAUAUAUGCAUAUAGAAGCUAGUAAACACCUCCAGGAGAUGCAAAAGGAAUUAGAACUGCCACAAGGUGCAAGCAAAACCUUGAGUCUCCAUUGAUGGUGAAGUAUUUUCACUAUUUGGCAUGUCUUCUCUAGUACCUAGAGCAGUGCGUUGCAUGCAGUAGCAGGUUUAUAAACAUUUGCGAGUAAAACAUCCAACCUGAUACUCAAGGUAAUCAAUCUGCAUCCCAUUUUGGAUGAGAAUAUUUGCAACUUUGAAGGUUAUUUUAAGGACAGCAGCAGAAGAAUUAUGGCAGGUAUCUGAAAUUCAUUUCUGUGCUUUGCCGAGGACCCAUGGGAUGCCAUUUGCAGAUGAGAAAACUAAAGAAUAGCUUUAUCUUCCAGCUCUUCACGGAAAAAAAAAUGGCAACAAUAAAAUCAGCAACUCCUGCCAAAUAAAUGGGCAUAAAAAAGAAAUCAUAGACUGCUGGCAAUGGUGGGGAAAAAGUUAUAAAAAUUGUCUCUGCACCAUCUUCCUUUUGUCCUCUAAAAUAUUCACAUUAGCAAAAGUAUAUAACAGCUGAUGAAGAAAUACUGAUAAUUUGUCUUUGUAAGUAUAUCGAAAACAUUUCAAGAUCUAGAAAUUUGAAAUUGUUGACAAGUAUUUAUCUGUUUAUUCACAAAUUUGAAAUCAACCUCAGGAAUGCUCAUUCUGAUUGAUAUACUUAGGUCAUAAAUUUUUAAGACCACAGAUUUCCAGGGACUUUUUGGAAAAUCACCCAGUAAAACAAUGUCUUUUUGCAGGGGACUAGCUUCAGUAUUUUGGCUUCUUUUUGCUUCUUUGCAACAAAUUGGGAGACAAAGGUGGGAAAGUUUUUUUCAAUAAGUUAAUAAUUUUUUAAAGGUCAAAAUUUUGUUCUUUGCUUAUAUUAGAAUUAAACACUGUGAGAUUCUCUCUGA